GCCUGGUUGGCUCAGUUGCUGAGUGUGUGGCUCUUAAUCUCAGGGUUGUGGGUUAAAGCCCCGCAUUGGGUA
rnacentral:tRNA from 1 species